UACGUAGGGCGCAAGCGUUGUCCGGAAUUACUGGGCGUAAAGGGCGCGUAGGCGGUCAGCACAAGUCAGUUGUGAAAUCUCCGGGCUUAACUCGGAAAGGUCAACUGAUACUGUGCGACUAGAGUGCGGAAGGGGCAACUGGAAUUCUCGGUGUAGCGGUGAAAUGCGUAGAUAUCGAGAGGAACACCUGCGGCGAAGGCGGGUUGCUGGGCCGACACUGACGCUGAUGCGCGAAAGCCAGGGGAGCGAACGGG
rnacentral:rRNA from 1 species